GACGAACGCUGGCGGCGUGCUUAACACAUGAAAGUCGAACGGUAAGGCCCUUCGGGGUACACGAGUGGCGAACGGGUGAGUAACACGUGGGUGAUCUGCCCUGCACUUCGGGAUAAGCCUGGGAAACUGGGUCUAAUACCGGAUAGGACCACUGCCUGCAUGGGUGGUGGUGGAAAGCUUUUGCGGUGUGGGAUGGGCCCGCGGCCUAUCAGCUUGUUGGUGGGGGGAUGGCCUACCAAGGCGACGACGGGUAGCCGGCCUGAGAGGGUGACCGGCCACACUGGGACUGAGAUACGGCCCAGACUCCGACGGGAGGCAGCAGUGGGGAAUAUUGCACAAUGGGCGCAAGCCUGAUGCAGCGACGCCGCGUGAGGGAUGACGGCCUUCGGGUUGUAAACCUCUUUCAGCACCGACGAAGCGCAAGUGACGGUAGGUGCAGAAGAAGGACUGGCCAACUACGUGCCAGCCGCCGCGGUAA
rnacentral:rRNA from 1 species